AUGGCACUCAGCUCUAAGGCUCCUAAUGAGCUAUCCCAACAGAUAGAAGAAGAAAUAAUAAUAAUAAUAAUAAUAAUAAACUUUAUUUGUAUCCAGCCACCAUCUCCCCAAAGGAAUUCGGGGCAGCUUACAAAAGCAUCACAAAGUGCAGCAUACAAUAUAAAAUGGUACAUGAAUAUAAAACAAUAUCUCAUAAAAUCAUAGAAAUUAUUAAUUAAAAAGUAUAAUAACAACCACAGUAAACACAAAUAACAUAAAAUGGAAAUGGCACAAUUUAAAAACACCUAAGGAAACUCGCUUCCAUCAAUUCACAACUAAAUUGCCAAAGUGUUAACCUCAAAUGCCUGCUUAAACAUCCAUAACAAGAGGUCCAGGAAUAUCAUCUUCAGUUUAAGGAAUUAUAUUUAGAGUUCCAUUUGGACCAAGACGUUGAGACUCAAGUGUGGAUCAUUAUUUAGCCACUGAAACCAAUUGGAUGAGCUUGGGCAGGGCAAAUUCUUUCAUCCUCAGAGAAUGGCAAUAGCUAAUUUCCUCUGAAUAAAAUCUUGCUAAGAAAAUCUUGUGAGAAAGGCACCAUAGUCACUGAAUGAGAUGAAAGCAUAUCACAAUAACAGAAAGAGAAUUCCAGUGUCUCACCAAUCUAUAAUCACCCCCAAUCUAUAAUCACCAUAGGAUGUUAUAUAAUGUGAAAGAACUGAAGAAUAAGGCAACUUUCUAUCUUCUUUUGAAGUGUAUGGAAUCCAACAAGAAAAAAAUAUCACAAUUAUGACUUGGUGCCUUUUAAAAAAAUGAUUAAUAAUUUUAUAGAAUUAUGUUUUUUAAGAAUUAUUAACUCAUCAACACAGGUGUACAAAUUCACAGUAACACUCUCAGGGUAUUGAAAAGGUACUUACUUUCAAAACACUUGGAAGUUCUUGCCCACUUAGAAGUUGGGUUGAUAUUUACACAGUAAUAAAGACUCUCAAGCAGUUAAUAAUUUGGUCUUGAUGUAGGAAAAAGUUGCACAUAUGUGAAAGCUGGCAUGGUGGUUUAAAUGUUGGAAUAACACUCUGGGAUACCAGGGCUCAAAUGCCCACUUGGCCAUGAAAACCCAUUGGGUGACCUUGGGCAGGUCAAAUUGUCUCAGCCACGUAUGAUGACAAUGACACACCCCUUUGACUAAAUCUUUUUAAAAGUCUCAAUCUGUGAAUAGUUCUCUAAUUUUCUGUGCAACACAUUUAUUUUCUGUGCAAAAACCUCCAUGUGCAUUUAUGCAAAGUAUACAUCUGGACCUGCAAAGAUUACCUCCUCCCUCCAGUAUCCUCUUUAUCAGGGUUUCCUAACACUCAGAAAAUCAAUUUCCAACCCUAUCAUUCAAAUAUUUUUUACAUAUUUUACAGGCCUAAUGCCUAGCUUCACCUUUUUCUGAACUGUUAUUUUGGCAAUACCCCUCUCUCAUAAAAGAUUAAGAUGUUUGUGGGACACAGCAGGGCUUCAUCUGCUGGGUCUUAAUGUCUUUGUAUAAGGGACAGGUUUAUGGAAGGAACCCCUUCUAAGCAAUGGGUAGUCUUUGAAUAAUGGGGUGGGAGAA
rnacentral:lncRNA from 1 species